rnacentral:rRNA from 1 species
UACGUAGGUGACCAGCGUUGUCCGGAUUUACUGGGCGUAAAGAGCGCGCAGGCGGUCGUUCAAGUCGAGUGUGAAAGCCCCCGGCUCAACUGGGGAGGGUCACUCGAUACUGAUCGACUGGAAGGCAGGAGAGGGAAGCGGAAUUCCCGGUGUAGUGGUGAAAUGCGUAGAUAUCGGGAGGAACACCGGUGGCGAAGGCGGUUCUCUGGGCAUGUUCUUGACGCUGAGGCGCGAAAGCCAGGGGAGCAAACGGG